AAAACUAUUCAAGAAGUCAGCUGCUGCUGUAAAGGUCAUCUGGAAAGUCCAGGGAAGGGCCCUGAGCUAGUGCUGGGAAAGGGAAAUUGUCCUCUGGCCCGUGAUCUGGCAUGUUUGUCUGCUGAGUGGCUUCAGUGGUUUCAUCUAUUGCCUAAAGAGCCAAGAGAAAGGAAUAAAACAGGACUGUAAUCCACACCACAAUGAGCAGGAUGAGAAGAGCAGCCAAGUAAAAAUUUACAUACAACGAAAUGUACACAUCUUAAGUGGACCAUUAGGAGAACACGGUGAAGUAAACAAUGGAGCGUUUUACUAAAAGUGGCUGAGAAUAGAGUGCCAAGGAGAAGGGAAACCUGAAUUUGCACCAAGGAUGAAACAGUAAUGCUGACUAAGCGCCUCACCUCCUACCGUCUUCAAAGCCACAUGAGGUACACAAGCUCAGAAGCAGGAGUCUGCCAGGCAUCAGUGCUGGGAUAGAAAACACACACCAGGACUCAUUGGAGAAGACAGGGCAAGAUUAAGAAGAUAAGCCAGAGUUGGAGACCGGCUGUCAGUACUGAAAUUUCUAAGAGCUGAGUGGGGACAAAUACCUGAAAGCAAAGAAGAAGAAAUGUUUGUGGUGUGAAGAACUCACCAGUCUCAAUAGAAUUGGGGUCAAAUGCCAAGAUUCUCAAGGAGAGAAGGGAACCAGAGGAUGACAAAUUCAGACACAAUAAGCCCAUGAUGAAAACUGAAGAAAAGCAAUGGAGAGGAUAAUGUCAGAAAAAAUGGAUUUAGAAGUUUUCCACUAAAUGGAAAGUACAGAGAGCUGCUUCAGGAAGAAGCAAAAGCCAACUUCAUGAAUUAGAGACGAUUCGAGGUGGUUUCCCAGGAUUGAGUCCACAGGUACACAGUGUGCACUUUAUUUAUAUAUUUUUUUCUUAAUUUUAGAAGGCUGAAUAUAUCAGAGAUUUCCAGAAGGCUGCUACCUGAACUGUAUCUGUUAAAAGCCCAACUUGAAGGCCAGUAGCACUUAAGUGGCCAAAUAGUGAGGUUACAAGCAGUCAUUAUUAAGCACCUUCAGAGUCCAGUUCCAUGCGUCUUCUACCAUCUCCUGCUGACACAUGCUGACGAGGCCCUGCAGCCCCACAGUGCCAUCUACAAUCAUUUUCGUGAUUUUUAUUGGAGGUUCACUGCAUCUAUAGCUUGCUUAUAGCUAUAAAAAAUAUUUUUUACAUCAUGUAUGCAUAAUGAAUAUUUUUAUCAAAGUAUAAUUAACAUACAAUGUUAUUUUAGUUUCAGAUGUACAACAUAUCAGUUCAACAAUUCUUUACAUUACUUAGUUCUCACAAUAAAUGUAAUCAUCUGUCACAAUACAACAUUAUUAUAGUAUUGUUGACUAUUUUCCCAAUGCUGUACUUUUCAUCUCUGUUAUUUAUUUUAUGACUGGAAGUAUGUACCUCUUAAUCGCCUUUAUCUGUUUUGCUCAGCUUUCCACCCAUCUCAAACCACCAGUUUAUUCUCUGUAUUUAGGAGUCUAUUUGGAUUUUGUUUGUUUGUUCUUUUGUUUUCUGGAUCCCAUGUAUAAGUGAAAUUA